rnacentral:rRNA from 1 species
CCUACGGGUGGCAGCAGUGAGGAAUAUUGGUCAAUGGACGAGAGUCUGAACCAGCCAAGUAGCGUGAAGGAUGACUGCCCUAUGGGUUGUAAACUUCUUUUAUAAAGGAAUAAAACGAGGCACGUGUGCCUUUUUGCAUGUACUUUAUGAAUAAGGAUCGGCAAAAUCCGGGCCAGCAGCCGCGGUAAUACGUAGGUUCCGAGCGUUAUCCGGAAUGAUUGGGUUUAAAGGGAGCGUAGAUGGGUUGUUAAGUCAGUUGUGAAAGUUUACGGCUCAACCGUAAAAUGGCAAUUGAUACUGGCAGUCUUGAGUGCAGUUGAGGUAGGCGGAAUUCGUGGUGUAGCGGUGAAAUGCUUAGAUAUAACGAAGAACCCCGAUUGCGAAGGCAGCUUACUAAUCUGUGACUGACAUUGAUGCUCGAAAGUGUGGGGAUCAAACAGGAUUAGAUACCCUUGUAGUC